AUGUUCUAGCAAGUGAGCCUGAAUUCCUUUUCAGGAUCAUCUCCCAGUCGGUUAGGAAAAAGAAACAAGAGGAAGAUCAGAAACAUGUGAGACUAGAAAGUCACAGGUAUUUCUGUCUUCAGCAAAUAUUCCAAAGUUGCCAAAAUAAAGAAGGGCACAUCAUAAUCACAGAAGAGGGAGCCUUGAAGGAGAGUCCAUGAAAUCCAGGAAGAAAGAC
rnacentral:lncRNA from 1 species